ACAGACGGAAACGACUGCUAAUACCGAAUGUGUUCCGGAGACCGCAUGAUUUCCGGAAGAAAGGAUGGCCUCUAUUUAUAAGCUAUCGCCUGAAGAGGGGUUUGCGUCUGAUUAGGCAGUUGGUGAGGUAACGGCCCACCAAACCUACGAUCAGUAGCCGGUCUGAGAGGAUGAACGGCCACACUGGAACUGAGACACGGUCCAGACUCCUACGGGAGGCAGCAGUGGGGAAUCUUCCGCAAUGGACGAAAGUCUGACGGAGCAACGCCGCGUGAGUGAUGACGGCCUUCGGGUUGUAAAGCUCUGUGAUCGGGGACGAAUGGCUGGUAUGCUAAUACCAUAUCAGAGUGACGGUACCCGAAUAGCAAGCCACGGCUAACUACGUGCCAGCAGCCGCGGUAAUACGUAGGUGGCAAGCGUUGUCCGGAAUUAUUGGGCGUAAAGCGCGCGCAGGCGGCUUCUUAAGUCCAUCUUAAAAGUGCGGGGCUUAACCCCGUGAUGGGAUGGAAACUGGGAGGCUGGAGUAUCGGAGAGGAAAGUGGAAUUCCUAGUGUAGCGGUGAAAUGCGUAGAGAUUAGGAAGAACACCGGUGGCGAAGGCGACUUUCUGGACGACAACUGACGCUGAGGCGCGAAAGCGUGGGGAGCAAACAGGAUUAGAUACCC
rnacentral:rRNA from 1 species